GAUGAACGCUGGCGGCGUGCCUAAUACAUGCGAGUCGAGCGAACAGACGAGGAGCUUGCUCCUCUGACGUUAGCGGCGGACGGGUGAGUAACACGUGGAUAACCUACCUAUAAGACUGGGAUAACUUCGGGAAACCGGAGCUAAUACCGGAUAAUAUAUUGAACCGCAUGGUUCAAUAGUGAAUACGGGUUUUCUUGUCCCUAUUAGAUGAUGCCGGGCCGCAUUAGCUAGUUGUUAAGGUAACGGCUUACCAAGGCAACGAUGCGUAGCCGACCUGAGAGGGUGAUCGGCCACACUGGAACUGAGACACGGUCCAGACUCCUACGGGAGGCAGCAGUAGGGAAUCUUCCGCAAUGGGCGAAAGCCUGACGGAGCAACGCCGCGUGAGUGAUGAAGGUCUUCGGAUCGUAAAACUCUGUUAUUAGGGAAGAACAAAUGUGUAAGUAACUAUGCACGUCUUGACGGUACCUAAUCAGAAAGCCACGGCUAACUACGUG
rnacentral:rRNA from 1 species